GCUGUGUGUGCACCUGAGAGUAGCAACCAGCUGAUAGCUAAGCUAAGCUAUGUUUCGGACCACCAGACGUUGCUUGUUUUGAAAACAAGCAGAAAAAAAUUACUCGACAUGUUUUUAGAUAAAUGGGUCGAUAUAAACCUUUGUGGGCAACGCCUUCUUUCGACGUGACGAAACACAGAAAGGCUUUCGUGAUUCGCUCGUUUCUCUGCAUUAUUGAUGUAAAUUGGGAAACACCGGGAAACACAGCCAGGAGAGUUGACGCACCGCUAUGAGAGCCUUGCAAGUGAGUUUAACUUGGGGUGACCGUCCGAUCUUCGAAAGGAGGGUGAUUCAUUUGGCAGCGACAGCGAGGCCGGCCUGAAAUGGAAGGAGAGAGCUUGGGGAAGGAGCAGCACUUACAAGGAGGAGAUUUGUCUGCACUACAGUAUAUGGGUGACACCUCAUGCCGGCUGGCUGGAUGGCUAUAGUCAAACGUACUGUGGGUGGACUGCACUCCUGCUCUGCCUGCACCCGGCCCGGUCCUUUGUCAUAAUCCAGAGGGUAAAUUUCAUUCAUGUUUCCAUUUUAGGCCAGUUUCACCUGCAGACAAAGCACCAGUCCCUUUCAUUACGCAGCCAAUUCUGACAUUAAGUGUUUGUGAGUCCAGCUGGUGCUGUGAUAAAAUGCCUUCAUUUUUCUUCACAUG